AACAAACGCUGGCGGCGUGCCUAAUACAUGCAAGUCGAACGGGGAAAGCUUUCGGGUGAGUACUAGUGGCGCACGGGUGAGGAACGCGUGGAUAAUCUGCCUUAGAGUGGGGGAUAACUAGUCGAAAGAUUAGCUAAUACCGCAUAAGACCACAGGAGCUGCGGCUCAAGGGGUCAAAGGUUCUUCGCUCUAAGAUGAGUCCGCGUAAGAUUAGCUAGUUGGUGAGGUAACGGCUCACCAAGGCGACGAUCUUUAACUGGUCUGAGAGGAUGAUCAGUCACACUGGAUCUGAGACACGGUCCAGACUCCUACGGGAGGCAGCAGUAGGGAAUAUUGCACAAUGGAGGAAACGCUGAUGCAGCGACGCCGCGUGAGUGAUGAAGGCCUUCGGGUCGUAAAGCUCUGUCGCAGGGGAAUAACACAAUGAAGGUACCCUGUAAGAAAGGAUCGGCUAACUUCGUGCCAGCAGCCGCCGUAACAC
rnacentral:rRNA from 1 species